AAAGAGAAGUAUUAUUGGUUGUAUGGCUGGCUUGAAAUCAGUUGGUGAGGGUUCGAAUCCUUCCUCUUUUG
rnacentral:tRNA from 1 species